GUCGAACCACAUUGAUGAUAAAGAACAUUCCAAACAAAUAUACUUCUAAGAUGUUAUUGGCUGCAAUUGAUGAGCACUGUCGUGGUACUUAUGACUUUAUUUACUUACCAAUUGAUUUCAAGAACAAAUGCAAUGUGGGCUAUGCAUUCAUUAACAUGAUCGAUCCUCAACAGAUUAUUCCAUUCCACAAGGCAUUCAAUGGCAAAAAAUGGGAGAAGUUCAACAGUGAAAAGGUGGCAUCACUUGCAUAUGCUCGAAUUCAGGGAAAAGCGGCUCUUAUUGCCCAUUUCCAGAACUCAAGUUUGAUGAAUGAGGAUAAACGCUGUCGCCCUAUACUCUUCCAUACUGAUGGUCCGAAUGCUGGUGAUCCGGAGCCCUUCCCCAUGGGUACCAAUAUUCGGCCAAGAUUGGGCAAACCUCGAACCAGCGGCAGUGAGGACAACCACCAUCAGGGGAACCCUUCUACUUCAGCAAAUGGAGAGGAUUCUUCCAAUGGAACAGACUCAUCAUCAGGUUCUGAAUGAGCAGUAUACUUCCUACAAGGCACUAACUCUAAAAUCCUGUAUAAGAGUACAGAGAACCGAAUCCACCCCAAUUCUGUAAAUUAGGGGCGGCCUGACAACUCUCUUUUUGUCUAUAGAGAAGCUCUUCUGCAAAGUUCUGGAUGCCAAAGUGCGCAUUCAGAGCCAAAUGAGCAACAUCAAAAUUUUUCCGUUCUCAUAAAAAAAAAAAAAAAAACAGUUUCUUAUCUAGGCCAAAUACGAGUACAGAGAAUGGCUUAAUAAAGGCUUAAAAUUUUGGUUAGUCAUGACUAAACAAUAUUACGAUGUACAGAAGUUUCCCCACUUGUGCACAGGCUUAGGAGGGAUCUUCUUUAUUAUCGUUUGCAGUUUUGUAUCUCUAUAUCUCUGUUAUUUCAAUUUUCCCAGGGGGUGGUACAGCUUAUCGUUGGUUCAGUUUUUGUUUAACGGGAGUCGCAACACUUUAACCUAUCUU
rnacentral:misc_RNA from 1 species